rnacentral:rRNA from 1 species
ACUCCUACGGGAGGCAGCAGUGGGGAAUAUUGGACAAUGGGGGCAACCCUGAUCCAGCCAUGCCGCGUGAGUGAAGAAGGCCCUAGGGUCGUAAAGCUCUUUCAACUGUGAAGAUAAUGACGGUAGCAGUAGAGAAACCCCGGCUAACUCCGUGCCAGCAGCCGCGGUAAUACGGAGGGGUUAGCGUUGUUCGGAAUUACUGGGCGUAAAGCGCACGUAGGCGGACUAUUAAGUUAGAGGUGAAAUCCCAGGGCUCAACCCUGGAACUGCCUUUAAUACUGGUAGUCUUGAGUUCGAGAGAGGUGAGUGGAAAUUCCGAGUGUAGAGGUGAAAUUCGUAGAGUAUUC